UAACGCGUAGGUAACCUGCCUUGUAGCGGGGGAGUAACUAUUGGAAACGAUAGCUAAUACCGCAUAACAAUGGAUGACCCAUGUCAUUUAUUUGAAAGGGGCAAAUGCUCCACUACAAGAUGGACCUGCGUUGUAUUAGCUAGUAGGUGAGGUAACGGCUCACCUAGGCGACGAUACAUAGCCGACCUGAGAGGGUGAUCGGCCACACUGGGACUGAGACGCGGCCCAG
rnacentral:rRNA from 1 species